rnacentral:rRNA from 1 species
GACAGAGGGUGCAAACGUUGUUCGGAAUUACUGGGCGUAAAGCGCGUGUAGGCGGCUUGGCAAGUCGGGUGUGAAAGCCCCGGGCUCAACCUGGGAAGUGCACUCGAAACUGCUUGGCUUGAGUACUGGAGAGGGAAGCGGAAUUCUCGGUGUAGAGGUGAAAUUCGUAGAUAUCGAGAGGAACACCGGUGGCGAAGGCGGCUUCCUGGACAGUUACUGACGCUCAUGCACGAAAGCGUGGGGAGCAAACAGG